UGCGUACCUUUUGUAUAAUGGGUCAGCGACUUAUAUUCUGUAGCAAGGUUAACCGAAUAGGGGAGCCGAAGGGAAACCGAGUCUUAACUGGGCGUUAAGUUGCAGGGUAUAGACCCGAAACCCGGUGAUCUAGCCAUGGGCAGGUUGAAGGUUGGGUAACACUAACUGGAGGACCGAACCGACUAAUGUUGAAAAAUUAGCGGAUGACUUGUGGCUGGGGGUGAAAGGCCAAUCAAACCGGGAGAUAGCUGGUUCUCCCCGAAAGCUAUUUAGGUAGCGCCUCGUGAAUUCAUCUCCGGGGGUAGAGCACUGUUUCGGCAAG
rnacentral:rRNA from 1 species